UCACUAGUUAAUUUUAUUAUUUACUUCACUCACUUCACUCUUCACUUUUUUUUUGUCUUUCAAUGAGCGAUGUUGUGCACAAUAAAAUAAAACGAAAGUUUUUAAAUUCUUGAAAUUUUGUAGGCCAAACAUUUUACUUCAAAGGAACUUUCACGUGACACAAACAAGUGCAUUUCCGUGGAAUUUUUAAUCGUUCCGGUACAAUUCCUGCGGUUCUUAGAAACGAGCUAUUCCAAACGAACAGUCAAGAGUGGUAAUUUGUGGUGCGCCCUGCAGGAAGUCACAGUUAUCAAAGAUGAUAAGUCUAUUGGUUCGCACAAGCCUUGCUCUACUUGUUUUGAACUUGCUGGUGACACCGGCCGACGCAUUCCGGAACAGAGACGGCAGUUACGGCAAGUAUAACAAAGGCUACAGUGACUCCAGCUACCCUAAGACGUUAGCUGGCACCAGUUCUGGACUUCCAUCCCAGCAGGCUACUCGAAGAGGCUUGGGCAUCUCAGCCUGGGGCAUUGUCCUUGUGGUAGUGGCUUUGAUACUGGCAGGCAUGGGAUUCUACUACUUCUCAAUCUGCUAUGAUAUCUGCCAGCCAACUAAGAACAAAUAUGACAAAAUGGGCAUGCCAACUAUGGCCUAGCUUAACUCAGUAGAGCCCUGUGAUUAGAUUUAGUGAGUUGUAAGAAUUUCAUGCAAUUUGACCUGUAUGCAAUAGCAAAAGUAUAGAUAUUUAUACUGCUGUGGUGUGUUAGAUAUAACUGUCUAGGUUUUAUUAGUAAGGAAACAUACACUAUGUAUGUAUUGACUGAAACUCUCGAAAAGGAGAAUGAUAAAUUGAAACAUUCCUAUAUUCUCAAUGCUAAUUGUUUAUGAGGGUAAUUGUGUUAAAUUUUGAAUCUGAAUGUGGCCUUAGAAUGUCUAAAACAUAUCUUUUAUGAUAUGUUAUGUAAGCAUAUAAAAAUAUAAAGGUUGUGACCUACAUUAAUGAUUUGUAUAUGGACCCUAAAUGAUGUGUAUUUUUCUGAUGAAUUUUGGGGUCAUUUUUGCUUUGAUACACAAUUUGAUGGCUUUAUGAACGUAAAAAAGACUGGUGUGGACCAAUUAAAAUUUAUAAAGACAAAAACAUUUACAUUUUUGUAGUAAUUUAGAUUUUAUAUUUAUAUAAAAUGAACUUUUAUGUGUUCAUUAAAUAUAGUUUUAGCAGAAUAUGUUAAUUGAAGUAACAGAUUCUUAAAAGCAGAUUAAAAGAAUGUACUAUGAUCAGAGUUUACCUCAGACAGAUACUGGUGCCAUACAAACAACAUAAUCACCAUUGUUUUCCUUGUUUAUUUUGUCACUCGUAAUAGUUCUGUAAGCUACAUACCUUGAAUAAAACUAGAUCCCAGCUAUUUAUAACCAUUACUCACAUGAAUUGUUGUAAACAAUAAUACAUUUUUCCAUCAUCACAAUUACCAGAAAUAUUAUUUCACUAAGAAUGCAAAUAGUAUGACUAAACUUAGUUACUUCCUGUAAAAAAAUAUUGUAUAAUCAUUGCUGUAUUGCAAAGUUAUCAUAAAACCAAACAUAACUUUACUCGAAUUAUGAUUAAACUGUAUGACUUGGAUGUUUAUCUAAUGGAAAGAACUAAUUAAGAGAAUGAAGCUGUACAAUUAGAAUAAUCUAGAUGUCACAAACUGUCUCGACUUACCCUAAUUAAACAUCUUAUCAGUAUUAUCCAACAUAAUGCUGUCUGCCCGUCUAUACGUAAGACUGUACACAAACUAGACAUGUAUGUAGAAUAAGUUUCAUAUUGUUCAAAACCAAUGCUCAAAAUAAUAAUGUUAUAUACACAUAAUA